UUUUAUUUUUUUUUGUGCUCAGAUUAAAGCAUUUAGUUUCUAGAAACAAAAAAUAAAUGGUUAUCUGUCGACAAAUGAAAUAAACAAAGUGAAAAUUCAAAGUCAUCACUCCUAAUCGAUAACGAAGUUGACUACAAAUUAUUAUCUAUAUUUAAUGUAUUUAAGGAGGCGCUAGGUUUUGCUUUUAUUCUAUCUAUAUGAUAUCAGUUUCUUCAUUUUGAAGCUACACUUUGUCAACCUCAAAGUUGCAUACCUCCUUUGAUAAAGAAACUUUUAUUUAAAAAGUUACAGUUAAAUACAUAUAUUCUAAUUUCUAAGUUGUCAAAUGCUUUUCUAGCAAGAAAAAAGGAAAAGUCUUCAAGUACUUUUAAAUCUCUCUUUAAUUUUCCUGGAUUUGUAUGCUUUCAAAUUAAAUUUUAUAGACCAAAAUUAUAGUAUAAAACUAUAAAUGAGAGGAUAGGAGUGUAGUAUAAUGUCAGAACAUGUGAUUGUCAUAUGGGCUAACCAAAAAUAAAUGUAUUCACAAGAAUGUAUUACUAUUCAGGACAACUUUUAAUGCUUUUACAGAAUAUUAUUGUUUCCGCAAUCUUUUUUAGAGACUUGGGUACGAAAAAAAUUCAAAUUAUUUUACUUACAAUCAUUUCAUUGGCUAUACGAAACCUAAAAAUACACAGCAAGGUACUGCAGCUGCUUAUGACAUAUAUGUGAGCUUGGAAGUUGAAGAAAACCCACAAAAAGAAAGACGAAUCCUUUUAGAGAAAAUACUUGUGCUUUUGAGAAGAAAAAAAAAGUUGUUUCCUUGAUGCUUAUUCCAAACUUCAAACACACAAAUUCCAGCCAGUUAAAGGU